CUCGUCUAGUUUUGUUUUAGGCCUUUUCUUUUUUCUCUUUUACCCAAACAGGGUUUAAGCACACUCUGGCUGAACUAAAGCCGACUGGCUGCAUUUUUAUCUUUUUGUUUUUUUUUUGGCUUUGAUCAAAUUGUAGGGAUUUCACCGGUCAGUUUUUGAAGUCAUGGUGGGCUGGCAGAGACAUUUGCAGUUUUUACUUCGCCAGGUUGGGAAAAGAGUGGAGCAUAAUUACUCUGCUGUCUCCAACUUUUCAUCUUCUUCUUCCUGUGUGGAAUCAUCUCUAAAACCUGGCGAUUUACCGUGUUUACAUAGAUUAUGGAAAUCACCUUCUACCAACAUCUCGAGGUCUUUCUAUCAAUAUUUGCAACAGUCGGGUAUAUCAAGUUCAAGGAAGUUAUUAGCAGAUUCUUCUGAGCAGACACCCAUCCGAUCACCUUUGACUCCUGCAUUAACUCCACUAAGCAGUGGAAAAACUGAAGAAAAGAAGGCAAUCUGUAAACAAUCAAAAGUUCAAGCAGUACUUAAGAACAUAAAACAGAGUCCUAAGAAGGUCAACCUGGUUGCUGAACUAGUUCGCGGCAUGCGUGUUGAAGAUGCACUUUUGCAGUUGCAAGUAACAAUUAAGCGAGCUGCAAAAACUGUCUACCAGGUUAUUCACUCAGCUAGAGCAAAUGCAACUCAUAAUCAUGGGUUGGAUCCAGAUCGCCUCCUUGUUGCUGAGGCAUUUGUUGGAAAGGGAAAUUUCAAGAAGAGAAUUUCCUACCAUGCAAAGGGAAGAGCUGGAGUUAAAGUGAGAGCAGAAUGUCGACUGACUGUCGUAGUGAGGGAGAUAACCCCUGAAGAGGAGGCUAAGAUUGCCAGGCUAAGAGUGCACAAUUUCCGCAAGCGCACUAAGCAGGAGAAGAGGCUUGUGCCACACAAGCUUAUUGAGACCACUCCAAUUUGGAAUCGCAAAAAAGCCAAAGCUGCUGAUUAUGAGCCUGAUGGCAUGGCUGCAUGAGAUUGCCUUCUUUGCCAUGUUUCACAUUGUAAUACAAAGUUCCAUAGAGCUGUUUGGAACCCUAUUGCAUGAUUUUGCGUUUUAGUCAUGCGAUUUAGUUGAGAUAGUAUUGUAGAGUUGCAUAUGCCAAAGCGCUGGAAAGUGAGCAACCUUGUUUUAAUCUCAGCAACACUCUUUGCGAGGAUUGGAGUAGAAUCGUGGAUCAUACAUAUCAUUGUGGUGUUUGCUUGUGGCUGUUUCUAGUAUCUCACAUUAUUGGAUCGAAUAAGACAUGCAAAUCUUGAUCAAGAAAGUUAAAAAUUUGAUUAAAUAAGGACAGGCCAGGAGAAUUUCAUAAACAGCUUUGCCAGUUUUAUCAUCAUGACAAGCACAUCAUUGCAGUGCCAAUUCUUGGGAGAAGAGAUUUAAUAUCUAGAAUCAUGAAUAUGCCCCAAAUAGAAAUGAAAAAAGAGCAGGCAAACUUAUUUUGUUUUCCAGACGCCAGAGCACAUAACACAAUUGUCCUAAUAGUUGCUGAAGGUGUGGCCGUCGAGUAAAAAGAUUGUAAAAAUGCUUCAAAAGCUGCUCCAUCAAACUCAAUUACACAAUGUCCACUGGAAACAUACAAAUUGCCGACACAGAUAUAAUAGUACCAAAUCUCAAAUAGGUAAUAAUAAUUUAGUUUGGAAAAUCAGCACUUCUGCGUCUGAGAA